GUGCUUGCUUUAGCAGCACAUAUACUAAAAUCUGAACGAUACAGAGAUUAGCAUGAUCCCUGUACAAGGAUGACACCCAAAUUCAUGAAGUGUUCCAUAAAAAA
ensembl:snRNA U6 U6 spliceosomal RNA